UACGUAGGGGGCAAGCGUUGGUCCGGAUUUAUUGGGCGUUAAAGGGCGCGGCAAGGCGGCGCUUCAAGUCCGUUGUGAAAUUUCAGGGCUUAACCCUGACGGGUCAACGGAAACUGAAGGGCUAGAGUGCAGCAGAGGAAAGCGGAAUUCCCGGUGUAGUGGUGAAAUGCGUAGAUAUCGGGAGGAACACCAGAGGCGAAAG
rnacentral:rRNA from 1 species